UAAUACAGUGUGUCUGUCCUGGACCUUUGAAGUAAGUGGGAGUUCUGCCACCAAUUUAAACAGGAGAAGGAUUUGAGCCAAUUUGAACAGAAGUUUUCACUUAUCUUAGUGCCUAAUCUUCUUUUUAAAGGGAUGUGGGAGUAUCAGCACCUCCUACGUAAUGCUCAUCAGCGUGCAGAAGUAAACUAGUCUGGUCACUUUUGGAGGCCCCUUUAAAACCAGGAGGAUUACUCAGCCUUCCUCUUGCUGAUGACCAGGUUCCUGUUUGAUCCUGUUUACAAGCUUUCGAAGAUUGAAAAUAACCCCUACUCCUCUGCAUUGGCUAAAUCAGAGGCAGCAGUGGUGUGAACAGCCCCUUUGCAAGAGGACCAAGUGUAGUUUGUGACAGAAUUGAAUGGAGAUGAUCCCAAGCUGAAAGUCAAAACAGGAUCUUCUUUCGAGUUCACCGAGUGACCUGCAAUUUUAUUCCAGCACCUAACAGGUAAGAGAUUUCUACAGAAUCUGCAUCUGCGUUUCCCAAGGUAUUUUAAUCUCCCCAUCAUAAUUCCUGUUCUUCAGUGCC
rnacentral:lncRNA from 1 species